rnacentral:rRNA from 1 species
UACGUAGGGGGCAAGCGUUGUCCGGAAUCAUUGGGCGUAAAGAGCGUGUAGGCGGCCCGAUAAGUCCGCCGUGAAAGUCCAGGGCUCAACCCUGGAAUGCCGGUGGAAACUGUCGGGCUGGAGUCCGGAAGAGGCGAGUGGAAUUCCUGGUGUAGCGGUGAAAUGCGUAGAUAUCUGGAGGAAUACCGGUGGCGAAGGCGGCAUCCUGGACCGGCAUUGACGCUGAUGGAGC